GAUUAUGGCUCAGGAUGAACGCUAGCUACAGGCUUAACACAUGCAAGUCGAGGGGCAGCAUGACGGUAGCUUGCUACUGUUGAUGGCGACCGGCGCACGGGUGAGUAACGCGUAUCCAACCUUCCCACAAAUAAGGAAUAGCCCGGUGAAAAUCGAAUUAAUACCUUAUGUGGUCAUAAGAGGACAUCUGAUUAUGAUUAAAGAUUUAUCGUUUGUGGAUGGGGAUGCGUCUGAUUAGGUAGACGGCGGGGUAACGGCCCACCGUGCCGACGAUCAGUAGGGGUUCUGAGAGGAAGGUCCCCCACAUUGGAACUGAGACACGGUCCAAACUCCUACGGGAGGCAGCAGUGAGGAAUAUUGGUCAAUGGGCGAGAGCCUGAACCAGCCAAGUAGCGUGCAGGAUGACGGCCCUAUGGGUUGUAAACUGCUUUUAUGCGGGAAUAAAACGAGGGACGUGUCCUUCUUUGCAGGUACCGCAUGAAUAAGGACCGGCUAAUUCCGUGCCAGCCGCCGC
rnacentral:rRNA from 1 species